rnacentral:rRNA from 1 species
AUCAACGCUGGCGGCGUGCCUAACACAUGCAAGUCGAACGCGAAAGCCCCGCAAGGGGUCAGUAGAGUGGCAAACGGGUGAGUAACACGUGGGUGACCUGCCUUCGAGUGGGGGAUAACGUCCCGAAAGGGACGCUAAUACCGCAUGACAUCCUGCUUUUGAAAAAGCGGAGAUCAAAGCUGGGGAUCGCAAGACCUAGCGCUUGAAGAGGGGCCCGCGCCUGAUUAGCUAGUUGGUGAGGUAACGGCUCACCAAGGCGACGAUCAGUAUCCGGCCUGAGAGGGCGGACGGACACACUGGGACUGAGACACGGCCCAGACUCCUACGGGAGGCAGCAGUGGGGAAUUGUUCGCAAUGGGCGCAAGCCUGACGACGCAACGCCGCGUGGAGGACGAAGAUCUUCGGGUCGUAAACUCCUGUCGAGCGGGACGAACGCUUCGCGGAUGAAUAAUCCGCGGAAUUGACGGUACCGCUAAAGGAAGCCCCGGCUAACUCCGUG